rnacentral:rRNA from 1 species
AUGACACUCAUCAGUUGGAACUGUCGGGGUUUGGGGCAACCCCGGACAGUUCGCGAACUAGUGGGUCUCGUGCACAUCUACAGACCCAAACUAGUUUUCAUCUCUGAAACACGGCAAAGCAAUGAUGUAGUGAAUAAGUUGAGAUGGAGGCUUGGCCUCAAACACUGUAUCGUGCAACCCGGCGUCGGGAAAGGCGUCGGCAUUGCACUCUUCUAUGAUGAGUCAGUCGAAAUAAAAGAGCUUGCCGUUGGCCCCCGGUACAUCGAUGUGUUAAUCCGUCUAAGUCCAAAUAGCUCACAAUAG